ensembl:lncRNA
CGGCGGAGGGCGAAGUCGGGCGCUCGGUCGUGAUUCAGCGCUUCUGUUUUUAACCGGCCCGUGCCCGGUUCGGUGUCGCGGGGAUGAAGGGCUCCCAGCGCCGCGCCGGUGCCUCGUUGGGCGUUCGGAGCGAACGUGAGGCUUUGCGCUCGGAGGGAAAACCCGGUUUAAAACGAAAGCCCCUCCGCAGCGCUUUCCCCACCUCCCGCGCACGCUGUGGUGGAGAGAGGGGCAGAACGGCGGUGUUUCCCUUUGGACGACGAGCGCCGGCUGACGGCCCGCCGCCCCCAGGCACUGCCACGGCACCACAGAUGGCCUCAGCUGUGCCGGGGAAGGAACGGGUUGGGUGUCAGGAAGCGUUUCUUGCCACAAAGACCAGUGGUGCUGUCAGCGCUGGGCACCUGCGUGAGGAAACGCCGGCGCAGGUAAUGAAGCAAUCUGAGCUGACAGAGGUAGGCACACAAACGUGUCACCCAGGAGGAGGGCUGAUGGAGUCGUCCUUUACCUACACUGGUUGCCAGAGAGCUCUGGGAUGUGCUGAGUGGAGUUCCUGCACCGUGCGUACCCGCGCUCUUUGUGUCAGGCUGUAGGUGCCUGAGCCAAGCCAAUAACUCCCUCACCAGCACUACAAAUUUUAGCCAAUUAGUCAUUACACCACAUCUGAGAAGCGGGUUAGUUUAACUCUUCUCAUUUUGCAUAGGAAGGAGGCAGGAGGGUUAGGGGACUGGCCCAAGGCCAUGAAGAGCAGUGCUCAGAGCCGAGCCUAGAAAGCAGACUUCUUGUUUCCCACGCCUACGUUUCAGCAACUAGACUUGGCUUGCCUACCUCAGAAAAUAGGCUGGCAUAGCUAUAGCUGUGUAAUUACACCGUUACCGUUAUGCCGGAAUAACCCUCCUUGUGGACGCUCUCCUCCAGAUGGAAAGUGACUUCCCAAAAGCUGUCCAAAUGAAUUCGCUGAACAGCAAACACUUUAUGUUUUUUGCACUUUUUUUUUCCCUUUUUUUUUCCACCGUGGGGUCAAAAUUCCCAAGAUGGCAGGUCUGGGCGGCUCUCGAUAGCUCUUACAAGGCAUUGGAAAGCAUGGGUAAAUGUAAAAGGUGUCGUUGAAAUGCUGGAAGUUUUGUCGUCAAGAUUUUUUAUGAUGCUUUUCAUCAAAAUGUUGAAAGCUGAAAGCUUCCAGCUGGCUCUCCUUACAGGUAAUAAUUUAAUAACUAACAGCUUUUCUCCCAAAGCUGUUGGAACCAGCUUGAGUCAUGGAAGCUGAUGGGAAACGCCAGACCCGUCCUCUACAGUAAUUAUUUCUGGUUUUAAUCCCGCUGCUCCAUAAGCUUUCAAAACCAAAUGAAACUGUGAAAACAGGCAAGAGUGACCAAGGGAAAAGCAGGGGACAGGCACUAACCUGAAAGGGUUCACCCUUAAAAAUUAAUCUGUUAAGUGCGAAGACUGCAGAGAUGAGAGCAUCUUCACCACAGCAGCAUGGGCAUAGGGUGAAUCACUGGUUUCAUUGCAAAAUUCAGCUCUGCCACAGCUCAGGGGCUGCAGAGAGAGCUCCAGUGAUUUCCAUCAACCACGCAACUGCCCCCAGGUUACACUCUCUGGAGCAGCUGUGGCGACCUUGAGGCUCAAGUGGUGGUUUAGGGAUCAGGACACCAGUGUUCACAUCCAGCCGUGGACAGAGGUCCUCUGUGUGAUUUCAACCAAGUCAUCAUUCCUCUACGUUUCAGUUCUGUUUUUAAAUUGCAGCAAAUAAUGCAACAAGGGUUUUAUUUUUUCAUCUGAGCAAUAGCCUGAAAGCACUUCUCAGCUUUGCCGCAGACUUCUGCCACACUACAGAAGCUGCUUGGGGCAAAUCUUAUAGAGAGCCAUUUCUGGAGCUCCUUUCCCCUCUGUUUCCAUCCAUGAGACCUAAGCAGCCCUCACACAGCCAUGCCUGCUCUAGACAGCGCUCUGCCACAACAGCCCAGCUGCCCAGGGGACAGCCACCCAGUCCUCAGACUUGUCGUGUCCCCAGGGUAACCACAGGCCUCAGUUCUCCUUUGUUCUGUUGGAUGCAACAGAGCUGCCCCAUUUAACAGGGAGGCCGGGAGGAGAAAUUAAUGCCUUAUUGCUCAUCAGUAACAUGUUUCGAUAGGUCAGUGAUGGGCUCAGCCUGUUUCAGUGUAGUAUUUAACUAUAUAUAUGCAUUUAACUUGUGUGUGUAUGCCUUCACACGUUAAUAUUCAAAACAGCCAAAAAGGCUUUUUAUAUCAAUUCUGGUCUGAAUGAUCUGGUUGAUACUAUUUUGUGUGCUUUUAUAAGGUCAAAGUGUUCUAGGAGUUAGCUCCCCCAAGACCUGUGUUAGGUAUCCACAUAAAUAAUAGCUUAUUGCUGCAAAAGCUCCAGGUUUUUUUAGGUUUAGGAAGUUAAAAAAAGGCAUAUCUACUACACUGCUACCUUGGACAGCUAUGAACACCACUGAGCAAUGGACCUCCGGGUCAGCUUUCAUGCCUUUAGACUGAACCCUCUCUUUUCUAACCAAGAAGGGGUACUUUGAUGACAAAUUGGAUCGAAUCCCAAUAUACUUUGAACAGGACAAAUGUAGACCUUUCUUUACUUAACUGUGUCGGGCAAUCUACAACCAUAUAAGCACUAAUCUAUUCAGUAUUCCAUCUCCUCCUCUCUACUACAAAAAGGCACUGUUUUAUGCUUAUAUGCACCAAUAAAGAGACCUAUAAAGAAAAUAAUGAACAUCCUUGAAUAUUUUCAGGCCAUACCCUAUUAAUUUUAAAAGCGACUCAACAUACUGCACCCCUUGUAUUUCAGGAAGAUAAAAGCCUAUAGAUUAAUUCCUAUUAAAACAGUUGGUAUUUUCAGGACAUGCAGAUGUAAUUUAUGGAGAGGCACAAUGCUCAUAAUAGCUCAAAGGCCACAGAAACUGUAGAUCUGUGUCUGUUACUGUAGUUGUACAGGCAUUCAUUGUACAGAGAGCAGUUGAAAAGACGGAGUAUGUAAUCUGAAUACUAAACUUGUGAAUAGUUUCUCACUUGGGCUGGUUGGGCUUUUCAAGAGCAGCGGAUGCUUUGUGGGGGACUUUGUAAGACAUUCUGCUAAUACAUCACGUGGUUGCUGUAUUUUCUUCUCUUAUCGUUACUGUUAGAGCUUUAUUCAUGAAUGCACAGUAUUUGAUUAUUAGAAGGGCAGGAGCUCCCGCUCUGUGCUCUCCACCUGAAUUCAGUGUGCUCCGUGUGAGACAGUUUCCACAACAAAUUCUGCUUCUUUCUAUAAAGCGAGCAACUUGAGGUACAUGUAAACCAAAAGUGUGCAAGAGAUCAAGAUUCCUCCCCUCCCCAGGUACUCCGAUUGCUGCAUUCAUGUUACUUGGAGAAUAGUAUCGUAUUUUAUGUUUUAUUAUCAACAAUAAAAGUGUACAGGUUUUCUAUUUUAUUAUGGAGAUAUAAAUGUAUAUGGAUGCAUCACUUACGAGGUAGGGAGAUUCUGAAGUGUCCUAACAACUUUUAAUUAUGACACAGGCUACUAAGUGUGGAUAUUUGAGGCUGGGUUCAUCUCUAUUCUUUGCACAGCCCCUAGCAUAGUGCGGAUUUAUUCAUGACCUAGCAUCCCACUUCACCAAAAUUAAGAGUCAAACUCUACUUCGCUUAUGACCAGAAAUCUCAAUACCAGCAGAACUGAAUACACCCAACAUUGAAUGGGGAACAACACAGUAGUUCAAAAGUAUGGUGGACCACUUAAUUUACUGGAGGAUGGAGGCAUUUAGGCAAUUGCUGCCCAGGUUGAAAGUUGGUAAAAAUUACAGGUGUCAGUUUGGUUUAGCACUGCAAAGAACCAGGGAACAUCCAAUGACAAAUGACCAUACCCAUGGCUUUGCAACAUUUAAACAUUUGGUGGGAAUGGAGUCCUCCUUACGUUUCUCUUUGACAGAAUCAACGUGAAUCCCAAAAGGUCAAAUGCCUUCAAUUAGGUUUGAAAGGGCUUCUGUAGAAAAGAAGACAUUUAUAAACACCUUCCUUGGUGCUACCAAAUUAGGCUGCAAACAGCAUGGGAACAGGCCUUUUGAGGCUCAGCCCCAUAUCAUCAUCAUAGAAUCAUCA